UAAGACCAGCCCACCAAAUGAUCACCUAAAGCAAGGAAUAAUGGAAACUUUUUCAACAUCCCAAGAAAUCCUGUAAGAAAAUAUUCUGACAGAAAUGUAGCCAUACCUGCUCACUGAAACUUAUUUUUUCACUUUCAGACUUUUUAGUGAGGUUUGAUAAGAAGGAUAGGGGAAAAACAAAUGCUGCUCUUCCGGCAAGUACUAGGCCCAAUAAUACUGAACUAACAGCAACAGAUGUUUUCGGCCUGCAGAAGAAACCGAGUGAGGUAAACGAGUUGUUUUCUAAACUAAUUAAAAUAAACUUUUGAGGAAACCAUUUUUAACUAGGAGAUACAUGAUUUAACAGUCUUCGUAAGUAAAAAAGGGCAAGGUGUUGAUGAUUAUUUUCACUAGCCUAGUCUCUGACAGAAUGCAGGACUUACCUAUCGCUUACAAACCUCCACUUUUCAAUGUCCAACGCAUCCAUACCAACAUAAAGGAAGAUAAAGGUUUCAAGAACAAAUGAGAGAGUUGCAAAAGCGUGUCUGUGACAGCAAGACAAAACAAAUUAGACAGU
rnacentral:lncRNA from 1 species